GUCCUUGCUUCGACAGCACAUGUACUAAAAUUGGGAUGAUGCAGAGAAGAGUGGCAUGGUCCCUGUGCAAGGAUGACAUGCAAGUUCAUGACGCAGUCCAUAUUUUU
rnacentral:snRNA from 1 species